CAUAUUUUUUUGUUCCGGGUUGGUCACGUUGUUGGGCGGGGGACAAUUAAUAUGUGACGGAAUUAAGGAAGCAGCAUGAGACAACACGUGUUUGAUGUGGAAGACGUAAAUGGAGUCUUGGAUUUCAAAUAAACUUUAUUCCCUUGGAGUUUAUGAGGCCAUUAAGGUUCAGCAUCUUUGGAUCUGUGACAGGCAGAGACGGACGUCAAUCUACGGCGUCAAAAGUUCAGGACGUAAUGGAAAUAAUUUGACGAGGCCCCCAGCGUGACAAUGAAUGAGCUUGGAGCACCCAGCAUUGUCCCACCCACACAACCAUCUGAUUGGUUACAACCAUAGCGGUAACAGCCAAUCAGCAGUGCGUAUUCAGAGCGGUAACAGCCAAUCAGCAGUGCAUAUUCACAGCGGUAACAGCCAAUCAGCAGUGCGUAUUCAGAGCGCAUGGAGUCAGUGCUUCUGCGGUGGGGUUAGCAGGGUCCGACUUCUGGCUUACCGCCAGCCAGAACAGAAUAAUAUGGGCAAAAUGAACCAUGCAGAGACUGACCCUAUCCAAAGAGCUCUUCAUGCCCAAGUUAAACUUCUGGCCAGGCAGGAAGUACGAAUUGACUCUUUCAACUCCAGUUUAGAGGAGGCAGCGAGCAUCAAGAACUGAUCAAAACUCAUCUCCACAGUCUUCUAUCCUCACUACAAGAUGGCGCCUUGUCCUCCAUACCUGCUAGGCUCAUCGCCGAGAUUUCACCCAACCUCAUUCCUCCUGUGACUCAUGACGUCAACAUUCCAGCCCUCUGCCCACAGCCCUCAAGGCCUGAGUGGAUCUCUGAGGACUCGGGUGCAGUCGGCUCCUAAACUAAAUGUGAAUUACAUUUUGAACUUCAAGCUAGAGCAUUUCACUCUGAACGAGCCCAUUUGCAUUUGUGAUAUCGCAUCUUACCGGAGAGGCGGCAGCUUGGUCCUCAGCUGAGUGGACUCGCCGUUCCACCCUCUGCUCCUCUGAUACCACGUUUUCUGAGGCCAUGAAAAAUAUAUUUCGGCAAAAAUAACCCUGCCCGGGGAGCCUUUGCUUAAGUUACACCAUCAUCAUAGGGUUUCGGACUAUGCCAUUGAGUUCCAUAUUCUGGCUGUUGAAAGUGACUGCAUGGAAUGCUGCAGCAUUCUUGGAUGCUUUCUUUUGGGGUCUUGAUAAAGACAUUAAGAGUCACAUGAUCCGUUAGUCACCUAACAAUUUGGUUGAAGUCAUCGCACUCGCCGUUGGCAUAAAGAAAAAACUCUAUGAUUUGGAAGAGGAUAGGGGCAUGCCACCUGGAUAUGUUACCUCCAACGCCAGUCUGAAUUUUACACUGAUGCCUCCACCAUUGAAGACGCAGGAGGUUCCUAUGCCGCUUUGGGGACAUUGUCUCUCAUCAGGAUAUCUUCAGCGUAAGAAGCUCCGCCUCUACUGCAGCGAUCCCAGCCAUAACAUCUCCAAGUGUCCUACCCGUCCAAACCAGCAUUCCUGUUUGACGCCUGAGGUCUUACAGACCUGGUUCCAGCAAUGUCAAGCCCAACACUCUUUCCAGAAUCCACAGUCCUCCCUUUGAUGACUCUACUUCAGAACACAUCAUACCUGUGGUCCGUUGGGGUUCUCCAAGUGGGAAGUGGAGAGAAGGGUGUUGGACUCUGCAGAGGGUAUACAAAUACCGAAUGGGUGCUCUGCCGGCAAGCUAUUCGUUCCCGAGUUGCUGCAGUGGGGCGACAAGCCCAAGGUUGCUUGCCAGCCUGAAAUCAGCCGUAUCCAAUUUGUCAUUGUCUAAAGGUUCUGGUGGCCUGCUAUGACUGCUGAUAUCAGGGACUUUGUCCCUGCUUGCGCCUUCUGUGCCCACAGAAAAUAAUCUCAUUGUUCUUCUGCUACGGCUGUUGCCCAUCCCACCUCGGCCAUGGUCUCAUAUUACCCUUGACUUCAUCAAAGGUCUUCAUCCAUCCCGGGACAAUACAGUGGUCCUAACAGUUGUGGACAGGUUUUCUAAGAUGGCCGAUGUCAUCGCUCUGCCAAAACUUCCAACAUCCCUCGAGACAGCCCAACUGUUAGUCAGAUACGUGUUUCGUAUUCACUCCAUACCCUUGGACUUGGUAUCUGACAGAGGCCCGCUGUUUGUCUCCCGAGUCUGGGGGGCAUUUUGCAAAGCGCUCGGGGCAUCGCUCAGACUGGCCAGACGGAGCAAAUCAACCAGGACUUGGAGGCUAUGCUACACUGCGUCUGCCAUUGACACCCUUCUUCAAUGGCCUCUUAUCUUACCUGGAUUGAGUACGCCCACAACACCCUCGUCAGAACGGCCACAGGAGGCAGAUGUGUCCGUCCUAUCUAUCCACCUGCGGCGGUCGCAUUGGGUUUGGCGAAAUACCCGUGCGGCUUUGUGUCGGACGGCUGAAGGUAACCGCUAGUUGGCAGACCGCCACAGGAUUCCUACCCUGGCCUAUCGCCCCGGUCGGGCAGUAUGGCUGUCCUCACGGGACCUACGCCUUGAUGGUGUUUCCAGGAAGUUGACGCCAAGAUUUGUGGGUCCUUACAAGAUCGACUCUGUAGUCAACUCGGUGGUUGUGAAGCUCCAAUUACCACCUUCGCUCCCCAUUAAUCCUGUGAUCCAUGUCUCAAGCCAGUUGUCACCAGCCGUCUAAACCCCUCAGUCAUGCCUUCUCUUCCGUGUCUGAUCAAUGGUCAGGAGGCUUACACCGUGAAGGCCAUUUUGGACUCCAGAAAAAGAGGUAUGGGUGUGCUUUAAAGUUAUGCUACUCAACUGUUGGCAUGAAACUUAUGCGUGUUACCCUUGUACUAUAAUAAACCUAUCAGUGGUAAUAUCGCUGGUUGAGCUGUUUUCCCAACUGCUGUGACAACAUUGGCUCUGUUGCUGUUUUUGUUGUGCUCUUCACUUGCUAAUGAAUGACUAUGUGGUCAAAAAAGCUAAACUUUCCUUUACUCUUUCUCAUGCACUCAUAAUCAUGAUAAAAGUUAGAAAAUGACAUUGUAAUAUAUUCAAUUAAGUAUUUAUAGUACAGUAAACCCUCGUUUAUCAUGGUGAUUUGGUUCAGGCCCUGGUAAAUGAAUUCCUGCGAAGAAAGAAGUAUUGAUUAUAAAUCAAAUAUUUUCUUAGCUAGAGCAUUAGAAAAACGUUCAUGAUCAAAUACUGAUUUUAACAAUUAAGCCCUGUAACCAUAACAUAACCCACAGUCACCUUUUCACUUGUUUAAUCCAAUAUGGUAAUAGUGGCAAAAGGGCGAGCCAAUCAGUGGCCACGAUACUGAAGAGCACACUCUGAUUGGUUUGAUCUUACCUCGUGGCCCUUACUACUGGAAACCUCAUGUAAAAAAUAUACAACAAAAUGUAGCAAGAAACACGUCAUUAAAGUAAAAUAUGUUCUGGACCAAAAAUCUGUCAAUUCACUACUGCUCACUAGUCUUAUCAUAUUGCAGUUAUUGUGCAGAAAUAUGGGGAAACAACUACAAAUGUGCACUUCAUUCACUGUGUUACAAAAAAAACAAUUACAAUAAUAUGUAAUGUUGGAUAUAGAGAACAUACAAACCUUUUAUUUAAUCAAAAAUAUUAAUUCAACGAUUUGGUGCAUUCGCAAAUAGCUAAAAUGAUGUACAAAGCAAACUAUAACCUGCUACCCAAGAAUGUACAACAAUUCUUCUCAACAAGUGUCACCGCCUGCUGCCCCCUUGUGGUUUGUAUUGUCAGUUUUCCUCUUUUGGUGCAGUUGACCUUGUACUUAUGACAUUUCUCCUUCCCCCUAGAGUUCCUGUGUUCAACUUGUGGGCGGAGUUGUGAGACGUGCACAGCUGCUGUCUCUUUUUUUGCACCAUCGCCUUUUGUUACAUCCGGUUUGGAUUGAUUUUUACAUUUCCUGUUCCCCGUGAUCGAGCUGUGUGCCUCGACUCCUCACUGGAUUUUCGACUGGCUCCCUCGAUCCUCGACCACUGCUUGGACACGGACCUUGUUGCUCCUCUCCAGCCCCCGACCGCUUGCUUGCCCACGGACUGCCUUCUUGGCUUGCCCCUCUGGUCUGACGAAAGAUCAUCCAACACGCACUUACAACAAACCCUGGUAACAUUAACAUCGUUCAUUCUACACAUCGUUUUGCACCAAACACAUAGAGUAGCAUACACCUGCCACAUACUAUUGAACCGAUUCUUGCUUUGGUGUCGUUUCCUUCCCCCGCCGUACAUAACAGGCUGUUGUGUAAACAAUAAUAGAAGCUUCUGUAAUAUCAGGCAUUGGCACUUCUGACUAUUUUUUGUGGCAAUAAGUCAGCCAAAUACAAUUUAUUGUUGGAUAUUUACAUAUAGUACUGUUACUGUAGUGGACAUUAUUUUUUAACAUGUUUUCUGCAUGCUUUUUUAACAGUCAUUAGAACCGAAGUACACCAGAUUUCCCUUGAAAGCUCGUUUGGUGCACACCCGGUUUGGAAUGAUCGCUUUCGCAUUUGACAAAAUGACUGAUUUAUUAAUUGAUAAUUAAUAAAUGAAACACAGGAAGUUGUGUUGCAGUCAGGUUUUAAUGAAGAUCUCCAGACGGCAUUCAGCCAAAUUGCUGUAAGUCAGCACUUGGGCAUAAUGCAGCGGGGGAAAAACUGUCAAGGUGUGCCAUUGCUCCAGCACAUACUGUACCUGACUCCAAGGCUUUAAAGUGACACAUAGAAAGAACUCCACGGGAUGCAUGAAGCUUCCCUUGCUGGAGUUCACCUUGGCGUUGUGGAGCUGAGGCUGUCGACUGUCAGAACAAUGCAAACAAGCCGCUUGACGGCUGCUCGGAGGUAGCUGCCGUCAAUAGGAUGAUCUUUACACUCAAGGUCUACAGCCUUGCUCGUGGGCCACUUCAUUAGGCACACCAUACAGGUAGCAACACUGUAUAUGAAUACAACAAUACGAGACAACGUGACAAUAUGGUAACUUUUGUAACGAAAAAAUUUUUACAGUCAAGUCAAUAAUGCAACAUUUUCAAUUACAAUGUAUUGAUUAAAAAAAACAUUAUUAUCCAAAAAUAACCUCUGUCUAGGUCAU